UGUGAACGACCCUCCAUCUGCUUUAGGCCCCUUGAGACUCCCUGGCCGUCCCUGGGUGAGCGUUCGCCGCUCCCCGUCAAACCUGAGCGGCGAGCAACUUGGGUUAUGCUUCUAACACGCGAGCAACUUGGGUUAUGCUUCUAACACGUGUGGACCACCCAAGAAAGCAGCGCUUCUGUGAGGCUUAUUCGUGAUCGGUUCUGUCUCGUACAGAGGGCAUGGAGCAGGGACUGUUGUCACCAACUGCCUUUUCCUUUACGAGUUUCACAACAGAUGAGAUUGUUUCCCAAGAGGCCGGUAGCAAGCUGCUCAGACGUACAGUCUGAGUCAAGUUCCUGCUCCCAGCAUGAGGAGGGGGGAGUGGGAUUCCCGCUGAGCCCAAGUGCAGACAGAAGAGCCUAGCUGCUGGGUGGGCCAUGGGCAGGUCUGACCUGUUCCCUGGCCGCAGACUUCUGGAAGCAGCAGGGGUCUACUGCUCUGCUGUACCCCUUUUGGUGAGGCUUGAGGUCCUGUCUUGAGGCUCCAAUUUCUCUGAAAAGGAACAGAGGGCUCUUUGAUGCUGACUGGGUGCAGGGGACCAUAGGAACCAUAACCCUGGCCCCAAUGUACCAAUGAAGAGACCAACUCGCACAGACCCCUUUGAGCAUAGGAUCCAGCGGAGGACAGGGGUUUCAGCUUAUGCCACUAGUCCCCUAGGAUCCCAAGUGGUUCGGUGGCAAGUUUUCUAAGUUUCAGGAGUCAAGCUGCACAUAUAUUUCGUCCUCUAUACUUCUUGCUUUGCGUCUGGUAAGGGCCAUGAGAUGCUGGGUCCAUCUAGGUAUACCUAGACUAGUUUUUUGCUGUUGAUCAGGCAGGUAGGAUUUCCCAGCUUCUGGCCCUUCUCCCACUCUAUGUUCCUCCCCAAGAACAACCUGAGUGCGUGGCCCAUGUUAGUCCUUAAUUCUCUUCCCUCAGCACAAUGUGGCAGUCAUCAGACACCACGACUGGCCUUGUGCUAGGCACUAGGCUGUAGACAUCUGGGGUUUGGGGUCUGCUCUCAAAGCUCCGAUGCCCAUGGGGCACACUAGCCAUGUUAUAGAUGGGGCUAACAUCAACCCUCGUUAGUAAUAGAGUUCUGGAGCCUGAAUUCAAAUUCUGGCUGGCUUGCUGUGUGACCUGGGACAAUAUAUUACCCUUUCUGUGGGAAUAACAGAGUGAGGAAAUACUCCAAGAAGAAGUGAUAAAAUUUGACCUGAGUCUGGAAAUUUGAGUAGACCUUAGAUCCAGGUAACUGGUGUUCAGGGAAUGACAGGUGUGGCUAGAAAUGCCUACAGAGAUCAUUUCACAGUGUGCAUUGUAGGAAUGUUGAGGAAUUGACUUUAUUCUGAGGACAGUGAGGAAAUAAUAAGCGUUCUAAGCAAGGGGUCACAUGACCAUAUUUGGCAGCUGCUUACUCCAGCUGCUAUGAAAAGCCAGAAGACCAGCGAGACAUCUGCAGGAGUUUCCUUGGCAAGAGCCUGGUGGCCAGCUAGGAGUGGUGGCUACGGAGUCUAUAAGACCUGUGAAAAGUGGGUUCAGCCUGUGGACCACCUCUGGAUCCCCCCAGCAUGGACACCAUGCCUACCUUGGGCCCUGAGUUGACCGUGAUUCUCUGAUGUUGAUCCCCUAGCAGGGCUCCUAGUGUGUGCCCAUCUCUUGCCCACAGGCUGUUCCUGGGGCAUCUUAGGAUGGGGGUCAGCUCCCUCCAACUCAAUUCCUGGAAGAAUCAUCAGAGCUUGAACUGGAGCUGGCCCCAGUAGCCACAACACCCCACGACAACUGGUUUGACCUGUCUCUUUUCCCUUCCUCGCCGGUGUCAUUCACCUCAGGGUGAAGAUUGGGUAGCUGUUGGCCUCCAAAGCCAUAGCUCCCCUUGUUGUGCCCUGCUCAUAGGGUCCUAUGGCCACCUCUGGGGACUCACAUCAUCACACGCUCACACUCAUGCAAAAGGCUUUACUUUUUUCAGCAGCCUUCCCUUCCCUGCUUCUUUUUUGGGUUGUGGGGUAAAAUAAGAGACAAAUGGGUGCUGGUGUCAGGAGGAGGGAGGGGAGAAGUACCAGGGGAAGUGGGGGGAGGUGGCUCCCCCCAGUGAGAUGGUGGCCCAAGGAGAAGUUCUGGAGUCAGGCUGGAGGCCGGUUCUGACCCCACCCCUAGCCACUUGGCUCACUUCAGAGGUUACAUCACUGCUCAAAGCCUCAGUUUCCUUAACUGUAAGAGGGGAUACAAGUAUAUGGAAAUAGGCUUAAUGUUAUUAAUCACUAAGGAAAUGUAGAUCAAAACCACAACAAGAUAUCACCACACAUCCAUUAAGAUGGCUGCUGUCAAAACAUACAGAAAAAAACAAGUGUUGGCAAGGAUGUGGAGAAAAGGGAACCCCUGUGCACUGCUGGUAGGAAUGAAAAAGGUGUAGCCACUAUGAGAAACAGCAUGGCGAUGCCUCAAAAAAUUAAAAGUAGGAUUGCCAUUGAAUCCAGCAAUAUCACUUCUGGGCGUAUAUACAGAAGAAUUGAAAGCAGGGUCUCAAAGAAAUAUUUGUAUGCUUAUGUUCAUAGCAACAUUAUACACAACAGCCCAAAGGUAAAAACAUCCCAAACGUCUGUCAGUGGAUAAAUAGAUAAAGAAAAUGUGGCAUAUGAUUACAAUGGAACAUCAUUCAGCCUUGAAAAGGAAGGAAAUUCUGUCACAUGCUACGGUACUAUGAACUUGGAGGGCAUUAUGCUAAGUGAAAUAAACCAGUCACAACAAGACAAAAUCUGUGUGAUUUCACUUACGUCAGAUAUGAAGAGUAGGCAAACUCAUAGAAACAGAAAGAAGUAGUUACUAGGGGCUGGGGCAAGGGGGGGAAAUGGGAGUUAUUGGUCAAUGGGUACAGAGUUUAGUUUUGCAAGAUGAAAAGAGUUCUGGAGAUUGCAUAACAAUAUGAAUAUAUGUAACUCUACUGAACUGUAUACUUAAAAAUCAUUGAGAUGGUAACUAUUAUGUUAUGUUGUUUGUUUUCACAAUUUUUAAAAAUGAGGAUCAUAGGCGUGCAUAGCUUCUCUGAGCUGUUGGGAGGACUCGGUGAGGCCAUGCUACAUGCCCCAGCACCAGCAAAUGGGCAUCAUCGGCCGGUGGGUGAGGAGAGGAUCUCCCAGUGGGCGUACUCUCUGGGACAGCUGAACCAACACCUGACCCCCACAGGGACGGCAAGGUCAGCCAGGAACCCAAGGAUGGCAUGUUCUGCUAUGGAAAUUCCUUUCAUAGAAUGCCAGGAGGCAGGAGUCUGGUGUUUGAGCUGAGACUUGCUUGAGUGCAUCUAUCUGUCUGUGUAUAUGUAAGGUAGUUUUCUUUCUCAAGGGUUGUUUGUGAAGUCCGAUUUACUAUUCUUGUGUAGUCAUUAAGAAUUACAUUUUUAAAAACUUCAUUUUGAAUUAAUUUUUGACUUAGAGAAAAGUUGUGAGUAUAGUACAGGGAAUUCACAUCUACCUUUCAACCAGCUUCCCUUAGUGUUAACAAUUUACAUAACCAUAAUUCAUGUAUCAAAACCAGGAAAUUAAUGUUGGUUGUACUAUGAUUAACUAGGCUAUAGACAGUAUUUGAAUUUCACUGGUUUUUCUAGUAACGUUCUUGUUCUGUGUUUGGAUCCAAACCAAAAGCCCAUGUUGUAUUUAGUUGGUAUGUCUUUUUAGUCUCCUCCAAUCUGUGACGGUGCCCUGUCUUUCAUGACCUUGACACUUUUUAUGAGUCUGUUAGUUAUUUGGAUGAAUGUCCCUUGGUUUGGAUUUGCAUGAUUUCUCUCAUGAUAAGACUGAGCUUGUGCACUUUUUGGUCAGAAUAUCAUAGGAGCAAUAUGUCCUCAGCCAUCAUACUAGUAGGUAUAUGAUGUCAAUACAGCUUGGGUAUUUUAUUUUAUUUUAUUUUAUUUUAUUUAUUUGUCAGAGAGAGAGAGAUAACACAAGCAGGGGGAGCAGCAGGCAGAGGGAGAAGCAGACUCCCCGCUGAGCAGAGAGCCUGAUGUGGGACUCGAUCCCAGGACCCUGAGAUCAUGACCUGAGCCGAAGGCAGACGCUUCACCAACUGAGCCACCCAGGCAUUCCUCGAUAUAGCUUGUUAAUGGCAAUGCCAACCUUGAUCAGUUGGUUAAGCUGGUGUCUGCUGGAUUUCUCUACCCUACAGUCACUAUUUUCCCCCUUCAUAAUGAUAAAUAUCUUGGGGGAGAGACUUUGAGACUCUACAAAUACGCUGUUUAUCCUCAAACAUUUACCCACUGGUUUUAUUUUAUUUUUUUUUUAAAGAUUUUAUUUAUUUAUUCGACAGAGAUAGAGACAGCCAGCGAGAGAGGGAACACAAGCAGGGGGAGUGGGAGAGGAAGAAGCAGGCUCAUAGCGGAGGAGCCUGAUGUGGGGCUCGAUCCCAUAACUCCGGGAUCACGCCCUGAGCCGAAGGCAGACGCUUAACCACUGUGCCACCCAGGAGCCCCUACCCACUGGUUUUAGCAUCCAUCUGAGGACGUUCACAGAAGCAAGUAUUACUGUGGUGUUUGCCUCAUGGUGAUCCACAUUUCUUCAACAUUCCUCCCAAUUUAUUAAUUGGAAUUCUUCUGUGCAUAAGAGCUUCCCCUCCCUCCCACUUCUUAUUUAUGCAAUUAUUACUUUAUAUUAGUGCCGACUCAUGCAUACUUACUUAAUUCCAUGAGUUACCAUCUAAUACUAUCCUGAUUGAUUUUGUUGCUCCAGCUGGCCCAGCUUGACCCACAUACUUUUUCACUUCAAGGGUAGAGAUGGUAAAAAUCCAGGGAAAGGUCCUUCAUCUGUCUCUGGAGUCAGAGCUGGAGGAGCCUGCCUUCUCCCUUGCAGGGUGGGGUGCCAGAUACCUCUCAGCGAUGUUAUCUGCAGCCUGGCAGCACGGGAAGGGGAGCGGGGACUGGUGAGAUCUGGCCCCACGGAUGGGGACUGCAACUUCUGUUGAGGAAGGAAGGGACCCCAAGCAUCCCCAAACAGUCUGUCUGAUAUGGAGUCCUUGUUGCUGAGACCUAUUGCAGUGGUGAGACCAGUCUCAAUGAGCAUGGCUCUCCAUACAAUCCUUCGGUGCCACAGACCCCAAAGAGAAAGGGACUACUUGUGAGAAAACUCAAAGGCCUCCUGCCCUAAGGCUGAAGGAACAGAGAGCUCAGCGAAUGUCUCGCUCUCCAGGGGGCCUAGAUUUAUCAGAAGGGCCACAGGGCAAGCAGUAAGGGUGAGCUUGGCUUGUGGCCAGGGUGUAAGUAUGGGCUCUCCUUUGCCUCAAACAUGCCCACUUUUCUCUUGGAACAUCAUUAGGUAGACUUGAUCCCCUUCAGCCCGUAGGCUGGGAAAACUAGGCAGUCACUUCUGAGCUGAGUACUGCUUCUCCUAGGCCCCAUGUUCCAGAGACCCUGUGAGAGCCUUUUUGUUAAGGGCCAGCUUCCUGUGUCAGGCUCCCAGUGGCCCGAGGCAGGUAUGUGUCUUCAUCAUAUGGGCUUCUGUCCUUUCCUGCAGUUUGCUGUGUCCUUUAGGAACCCAUGGGUGGAGGGGCUGGUGGGUAUGCCCUUGAGCAUGAUACAGCCUCCAGCAAAGGGUCUGAACCUCUAGAGGCACUAGCCUUGUGCCAUCUUUCCUGGGACCUGGGGUCAGGGCAUGGACAGAGGAGGACACUGAUUCUCCACCCAUAGCCCAAAGGUAUGAGGUAGCAACAUGGGGGCCUCCUCCUCUGUUAUCAGGGCACUUAUGGGAGGUAUUGGGAGUAGCAAAGGAGGACAAUGAGACAGACUGAGGCAGGUAUCUAGCUGGCCACUACAUGGGACUGCAUAUGGCUGCUCUCAGGGAUGUGACUCCUCUGAGUCCUGGGUGGGCUCUGGCAAAGGUAAAAACUUUGAGCGAUAGGCAGGCUUAGGCUACGUUCUAUCAGGCCUGCAAGCUACCAAGAAAUACUGCUAGCUAACAGGGGCACUGGCAGCUCAGCUGUCAGGACAGCCUGAAUAUUAACCAAGUUCACUCCCAGACUAGCUCUCUGUCAGAUUCCAAAGGGGAGAAGGGGUCAGACCUCCGCCCAGCCAACACCAGCAAGAUUUUCAGAAAGGUCUUUCCAGAAAAUAAAUAAAGGAGACUCAAGGGUUUUCCCUAGCUCUGGUGUGAAUGUACUUCCCUGUUUGUUUAUCAUCUGCAUCGCCCCAAACAGUUGGCCCCUUGCCUCUCAGCUGUGUUCCUCUGACAAAGGCAAACAGGAUCGGGGUGUGCUUUUGUCUGGAGGCUGCUUCACUCCCCUCUCCUGCCAAGUUUCUGAAUAAAAAGACUUUGUGCACCCCUCCUGGUGGGCAGCAGAACCUUCACACAGAGUCCAAGAGGCAGGAUGGUGUAUUGACAAAAACAAAGCUUGCACAGUGUGGGUCAGAGAGCCACAGGUGCCUCAGGCCUCUGCAGGGACAGUAAUUUGUGGCAGGUUAACUUCAGUUUAUGUUCAAGGCUAAUGCAGGGCUGCCAUGUUAUUUGAAAGCUUGGUCUGGUUUUAAGCAUGCCUCUGGAGCCCAAAAGAAAAGCAAGGAUCCCCAUGUGGAGUAUAGUGAUGGUGGAGAGUGAAUGGAGGCUCUCAGGAAAGGCGAGGUUGAGCCACACACCCUGGCAACGGGCAUAGAUGGCCCAAGGCUGACGGCUUCUGCUGCGUAUCUGCAGGACUGGAGGGCAGAGUCACAGCAGCACUUUCCAGAGCUGCCCCUCCAUGCUGAGGGGGCUGACACAGACCCCAUGCCAUUUACUUCUGUUCCCAGAGUGGAGCUAGUAGACCUAUGCUGGAUCCAGUGCCGGGAUGCAAGGGGGAGAGCCCGGUCUCUGAGUGCCCCUUCUCCUUCCCUCGGGUCCCUCCGCUCCCAUCCUCACCAUCCCACUCAAACCCCCUGGGUCUUUUGCUCUGGUUCAGCCUCCAGGGACCACAGAGCCCUCCACCAAGGCCUCCCCACCUAUGGUUGCUUUUUCUUUACCUCUAAUCUGAGAAGAAGGGAUACUGAAAACAUUUUAAGGUUUAGCCCCCCUCAAUCCCAUGAGCUCUGAGCUGUAGAGGCUUUAUUCCUCAUGAGUAUAACCAAGAGAUUGGGGAAUCCCAUCCUCACCUCACCCCUACUCAUAUAGUGGCAGCUUGACCCCUGAUUCCACAGGCUGGGAAUACAGGGUCCCUGGUUCUGCUCAUCCCGGAUUGUAUGUAAGGUAGAUGUUCCAUCCAGAAGAGGCAAGCCGAAAAGAUAGAGGCUACCACCCUCACCCAGUACCCGAUUCAUAAAGGAGGGUGUCACUCUGAGGGCUUCUUUACCUGUCACCAGCUCUGGAACAAGGGCUCAGAGAUAUUGUCCAGGGGGACAGGUAGUCCACAAGAACAGAGAGCUCUGAAGCUGUCCCCACAGGAAAUAACUUCAUUGGAAAGAAGUUGAAGAAGAAAAACACUAAACUGGAGCUCUGAAACUCAACGCAUUUCAAGGAGAAGAAAUAAAAAGAGUUCCACACACAGACACGUUAUGGUAAAACUGCUGAGAGCCAAAGACAAAGGGAAGGUUUUGAAAGCAGCAAGAAAAAUAUGACUUGUACAAGGGAACUUUAAUAAGUUUUAUGUUUGACUUCUCAUCGGAAACGAUGGAGGCGGGAAGGCAGUGGAAUAAUGUAUUCAAAAUGCUGAAAGAAAAAAGUUGUCAACCAAGAAUCUUAUUUCUUGCAAAAUUAUCUUUCAAAAAUGAAGUAAAGACGUUCCCAGAUACAAAAACAAACAAAAAGCGUGGGGAGAAAUUUUGGUACCGUGUUGCCUUACAAGAAAUACUUAAAGAAGUUCCUCAGGAGUAAGUUUUUUUUAAAUACACAACUUAAGUUCUGAAAACUAAAAAAUGUCUUUGAAAGAAAGUAAAGGAGACCUAAAUAAAU